rnacentral:rRNA from 1 species
CAUAUCAAUAAGCGGAGGAAAAGAAACCAACAGGGAUUGCCUCAGUAACGGCGAGUGAAGCGGCAACAGCUCAAAUUUGAAAUCUGGCUCCUUCGGGGUCCGAGUUGUAAUUUGCAGAGGAUGCGUCGGGUACGGGUCCCUACCGAGUUCCCUGGAACGGGACGCCAUAGAGGGUGAGAGCCCCGUCUGGUAGGAUACCCAGCCCAUGUGACGCUCCCUCGACGAGUCGAGUAGUUUGGGAAUGCUGCUCUAACGGGAGGUAUACUCCUUCCAAAGCUAAAUACCGGCUGGAGACCGAUAGCGCACAAGUAGAGUGAUCGAAAGAUGAAAAGCACUUUGAAAAGAGAGUCAAACAGCACGUGAAAUUGUUAAAAGGGAAGCACUCGCUACCAGACUUGGGUUUGGCGGUUCAACCGGGGCCACGCCCCGGGGCAUUCCGCCAGCUCAGGCCAGCAUCAGCUUUCCGUCGGGGGCAAAGACGUCGGGAAUGUGGCUCCCCCUCGGGGGAGUGUUAUAGCCCGGCGUGUCAUACCCUUCGGGGGGCUGAGGUACGCGCUUCUGCAAGGAUGCUGGCGUAAUGGUAGCUAGUGACCCGUCUUGAAACACGGACCAAGGAGUCAACCUUAUGUGCGAGUGCCCGGGCGUAAAACCCCAGCGCGGAAUGAAAGUGAACGUAGGUGAGAGCUUCGGCGCAUCACCGACCGAUCCUGAUGUCCUCGGACGGAUUUGAGUGAGAGCAUAUAGGGUUGGACCCGAAAGAAGAUGAACUAUGCGUGUGUAGGGUGAAGCCAGAGGAAACUCUGGUGGAGGCUCGCAGCGGUUCUGACGUGCAAAUCGAUCGUCAAACAUGCGCAUGGGGGCGAAAGACUAAUCGAAUCUUCUGGUAGCUGGUUUCCGC